GGGGGGCGUCAGGGUUCAUUGUCAGCUAGCUGUCUGAAUCUUCGUGCUUCGGAUUUGUCUCAUGAUCUGCUGCACGUACGACACGUACGACAAGGGGACAACAGAAUUCUACUGAAUUGUGGCGGCGCCAUCGAGAGAUUCAUGAAUGAAAUGUCCUGUGUUGGGUUCUUCAGAUUAUGCCUGAACCAGCAGGAGCCUCCGAAGCAGCAAGAGAGUAAUGGAUGGGGAAACUGGCAGAUCCGUUUGUGUGGACGACAGCUCGAUGGUGGCAACUCGGCUAGGUUUGCCAUGAGAAGGCCAGACUA